GUGUAAGUUGUCUAAGUCGUGGGACCCAGUAUUGUUCUCGAAUUCGGGCCAUGGUCAUCCCCACUCCCCCAUGAAGGGUGCAUAGAUGGGCAUCUUCCACCAGCUUGGUCGUAAAGAUGUGCUUGUCUGACAGAUAAACUGGAUAAUGACCUUGAAUGCGUCCCCUGCACUCCAGGAUACCUUGGGGGUUCUCUUGUAAAUUGAGUCGCAGCUUAUCGUCUUCGCUACCACAGCUCUGUUGUACUUUCUUUUCCCAAAAUACAUAUUGCUGCUCGAGCUCAUCAGUCGUUAGUGGUCCCAAA